rnacentral:rRNA from 1 species
UACGAGGGGGGCUAGCGUUGCUCGGAAUCACUGGGCGUAAAGGGUGCGUAGGCGGGUCUUUAAGUCAGGGGUGAAAUCCUGGAGCUCAACUCCAGAACUGCCUUUGAUACUGAAGAUCUUGAGGACUGGAGAGGAGACUGGAAUUUACGGUGUAGCGGUGAAAUGCGUAGAUAUCGUAAGGAAGACCAGUGGCGAAGGCGGGUCUCUGGACAGUUCCUGACGCUGAGGCACGAAGGCCAGGGGAGCAAACGGG